GACGAACGCUGGCGGCGUGCCUAAUACAUGCAAGUCGAACGCAGUGGGGACGGGUGAGUAACACGUGGGUAACCUCCCAUCAGAGGGGAUAACACUUGGAAACAGGUGCUAAACCGAUACUGAUGGAUGGACCCGCGGUGCAGUAGCUAGUUGGUGAGGUAACGGCCCACCAAGGCCACGAUGCAUAGCCGACCUGAGAGGGGGUUCGGCCACACGGGGAUGGAGGCACGGCCCAGACUCCGACGGGAGGCAGCAGUAGGGAAGCCUGUGAGAUGGAGGAAAGUCUGACCGAGGAAGGCCGCGUGAGUGAAGAAGGUUUUCGGGUCGUAAUGCUCUGUUGUUAGAGAAGCGGUAUCUAGCCAGAAAGCCACGGCUAACUACGUGCAGGCAGCCGCGGUAAUAC
rnacentral:rRNA from 1 species